UACGUAGGUGGCAAGCGUUGUCCGGAUUUACUGGGCGUAAAGGGCGUGUAGGUGGUUUCGUAAGUCUGGCGUGAAAUUUUUCGGCUUAACCGGGAAAGGUCGUCGGAUACUGCGGAACUAGAGGACGGUAGAGGCGUGUGGAAUUCCGGGUGUAGUGGUGAAAUGCGUAGAGAUCCGGAGGAACACCAGUGGCGAAGGCGACACGCUGGGCCGUACCUGACACUGAUGCGCGACAGCAUGGGGAGCAAACAGG
rnacentral:rRNA from 1 species